rnacentral:rRNA from 1 species
UACGUAGGGGCAAGCGUUGUCCGGAAUCAUUGGGCGUAAGCGCGUGUAGGCGGCCAGAAAAGUCCGCUGUGAAAACUCGAGGCUCAACUUCGAGCUGUCGGUGGAAACUUUCUGGCUAGAGUCCGGAAGAGGAGAAUGGAAUUCCUGGGUGUAGCGGUGAAAUGCGCAGAUAGUCAGGAAGAACACCCGUGGCGAAGGCGGUUCUCUGGGACGGUACUGACGCUGAGACGCGAAAGCGUGGGGAGCGAACAGG